rnacentral:rRNA from 1 species
UGCCUACGGGGGGCAGCAGUAGGGAAUCUUCCACAAUGGGCGAAAGCCUGAUGGAGCAACGCCGCGUGGGUGAAGAAGCACUCCGGUGCGUAAAGCCCUGUCAGCAGGGAAGAAAAUGACAGUACCUGGACAAGGAGCCCCGGCUAACUACGUGCCAGCAGCCGCGGUAAUACGUAGGGGGCAAGCGUUAUCCGGAUUUACUGGGUGUAAAGGGAGCGCAGGCGGCGUGGCAAGUCAGAUGUGAAAACCCGGGGCCCAACCCCGGGAGUGCAUUUGAAACUGCCAUGCUGGAGUGCCGGAGAGGU